rnacentral:lncRNA from 10 species
CUUGUUCCCCGGCUAGGGCUCCGCCUUCGGGGACCUAGGUGAGGACAGGCAUUUCCUGCCCAAAUGUUGCAUUUCCCAAGACCACCCUGGCCCACCACGCCCCCAUCCUGGGCCUAUAAAAACCCAAGACCCUGGCGGGAAGACACAGAAGUGGUUGGGCGUCGUGAGGAACGCAUCGGCGGCAGAACACUCAAGCGGCUGGUUGUUGAGAGCACGCCAGCUGAAGAGCACCCCUGCACACUGGCAGGCCAUCCACAGGUGUCAGAAACUCAGCUCAGCUGGAAGAAACUUGAUGUACCAGGUAUCAGAGUAGCAAGUAAAGCCACAAGCCAAAAAUGAAAGAGAAUCUUUUAAGUGCUUAUCGUGAUGGUGUAAGUAAUUGUCCAAAAGAAACGCCGAUUCCUUCUGUUCCAUUUUUACCUGUGGAUUGUGGAUUGAAAUAACCAUUGGACCAUGAGGAGAGACUCUGAAGAGAGGCUAGUGAUAUGUGAUAUAAUACUCUUUUGUGACGUUGGACCAUGGCAGUGAGCCGCAGCUCCCAGUCAGCAAUGCGAUCCCAAGAAUAAACAACCGAUUCUUGACAGUGUCCUAUGUUGCCAGUCGAUUUUGUUCAACAGUAGGUACAUGCAAGUACACCCCACUCCCAAAUUAAAAAGAUUGACCUUAGCCAAACAUAACACGAUCCCAAAGAUGGACGGAGCAGAAUGGCCAUUAUUAAAAAGUAAACAAAAAUAAUAAAUAACAAAUGUUGUUGAGGAAAUGGAAAAAGCGGAAAGCUUAUACACUGUUGGCGCAGCCUCUAUGGAAGACAGUAUGAAAUUUUUUCAAAGAACUAAAAAUAAAACUACCAUUUGACCCAGCAAUCUGACUACUGGAUAUCUAUCCAAAGGAAAUAAAUCAUUAUAUGAAAAAUAC